AAACGUGACGUGAGUGCGUUGCGAACAUUGCUAACUUAGGUUGAUAGGUUGCGAUGGUUGCGUGUGACAUAGUGUGAAGUUGAUUGAGUAGAAUAGAAAGAACGAACGCCGCCAUCAGUUUCCGUGUGCUGUGUUGGCUGUCGUUUGUGAAUAAAAAAACAGAUUGGUUUUCUAGUUUCAAGAAUCUACUGUAUUUGGACUAAUUUGUAUUGAUAUCAAGAUGUCACGCUAUCGAGAAUGGGACCUUUCCUGCAAGGUAUACGUUGGCAAUUUGGGAACUAAUGCUUCAAAAUACGAAAUAGAAAAAGUAUUCUCAAAGUACGGGAACAUUCGAAAUGUGUGGGUGGCUAGAAACCCGCCCGGCUUCGCAUUCGUCGAAUUUGAAGACCCCCGUGACGCUGAAGAUUCUGUGCGUGGCUUAGAUGGAACCCGAUGCUGUGGCACACGCAUUCGUGUUGAAAUGUCCAAUGGGCGUACAAGGAGAGAUAGAAGGUACUCCAGGUCCAUUUUAUCAACCAACCACCAACACACCGACCUCACCACAUCUCUUCACAACUACGGCUCGUUUAAUAUGACAUCCGCGACCGUCGCUCGCAACAACAUCCCGCUCAACUUCUGCGACCGGCUCUCCAAACUACUACGCGCAACUGAAGCCUCAAACAGCAUCCUACAAAUCCUCCUGACUGCCAUUACCUAGUCCCAAGUCCCGUCCUGAAGAAAGUAUGUUCUUGAGAGCCUUUAGGACCCAUUCAUCCCAACAACGUAGUAAUCUGAUGCUUCACCGUCUGCACACACCGUCAACAAGGCACAGCCAGAAUACAACUCAGCGGCCAACUCUCCCACAAUAACUCGCGCCCUCCCAGCUUAGCCACAGCUCCAUGGAGGAUUACAUUGAAACUCUUCGCCUCAAUACAAGUUAAAAUCCCUUCGGCCUCACUGCAGCCCAACAUCGACCAACGACCUUCUUCAGGCUCACCAAGUCUCGGUCGCGCAGCCGCAGUCCGCGUCGUCGCUCGUACUCGCGUGGUCGGUCGGUGUCCCCUCGUCGGUCGCCGUCGAUUCGCCGUCGGUCGCCUUCCAUCAGACGCUCGCGUUCUCGCGACCGACGCAGCCGAUCGGAUAGCAAGAA